rnacentral:tRNA from 1 species
GGCUCAGUAGCUUAGUUGGUCAGAGCUCACGUCUAGCAUACAAGACUCGUGAGUUCAAGCCUCACCAGAGCAC